rnacentral:lncRNA from 1 species
GAUACAAUCUGUAGAAACUCCAAAACAAGCACAAUAUGCAAUAAAAAAAAGAAUCUCUCUAACCAAAAUAAUACGUAAGGAUGUACUUUUUGACCUUAUUUCUGUAACUUUAGAAAUUCAAAAAAUUUAGGAAACCAUAAAACUUUUAUAGCCAAUCUGAUGUAAAAAUUUCAGAAAUUUAUCACGCUCUAUUUAAAAACAAAAAA